rnacentral:rRNA from 1 species
AAACUUACUAGGUCAGGACACAGUAAGGAUUGACAGAUUGAAAGCUCUUUCUUGAUUUUGUGGAUGGUGGUGCAUGGCCGUUUUUAGUUGGUGGAUUGAUUUGUCUGGUUAAUUCCGAAAACGAACGAGACCUUAACCUGUUAACUAUGUGAUGUUAAAAUUCGACUUCGGUCUCAAUAUUUGAUAUUAAAAAUUUAAUACUUCUUAAAGGAACAAUUCAAACUUUAAUUGAAUGGAAGUUUAAGGCAAAAAACAGGUCUGUGAUGCCCUUCGAUGUUCUGGGCUGCACGCGCGUUACACUGAUAUGUUCAAUGAGUUUUUAAAUUUCCAGUCUGAAAAGACGUGGUAAAACUUAGAAAAACAUAUCGUGAUUGGAAUAGUAUUUUGUAAUUAUCGCACUUGAACGAGGAAUUCCUAGUAGGGGCAAUUCAUCAAAUU